GGCCAGCAGCCGCGGUAAUACGUAGGGUGCGAGCGUUGUCCGGAAUUAUUGGGCGUAAAGGGCUCGUAGGCGGUUUGUCGCGUCGGGAGUGAAAACCAUGGGCUUAACUCAUGGCUUGCUUCCGAUACGGGCAGACUAGAGGCAUGCAGGGGAGAACGGAAUUCCUGGUGUAGCGGUGAAAUGCGCAGAUAUCAGGAGGAACACCGGUGGCGAAGGCGGUUCUCUGGGCAUGUCCUGACGCUGAGGAGCGAAAGUGUGGGGAGCGAACAGGAUUAGAUACCCUGGUAGUCCACACCGUAAACGUUGGGCGCUAGGUGUGGGAUCCAUUCCACGGGUUCCGUGCCGCAGCUAACGCAUUAAGCGCCCCGCCUGGGGAGUACGGCCGCAAGGCUAAAACUUAAAGGAAUUGGCGGGGGAU
rnacentral:rRNA from 1 species